CCUGAACUAGACUGUCUUUGAUUCUGUGCAUAAAGAAACCAGGCACUUGGAUGAACUGGAGCAGUGUUAGAUGGACCCCCCCCCCACCUGAACCAGUCAGGUGCUUCUUUGUCUUUGCCACUUUGUACAAAUGGUGUCGUGUAGUCUGCCCCCCCCCCCCCCCCCCCUCCUGGUCAUGGUCGUCCGUCCUCCUUUAAUGACGCUUCAGUGUUGGUUUGUGGGCUCCACGGGGGCCCCUGGUGUUCCUGGUGUGUGGGAGUGCAUGGGUGGUAGAACGCAGACAGGAGCCGUUAACCCUUUCAGAGCUCCUGGACGUGAGAUGUUGACCGGCGUUGGAGUGACGGAGCUAUGGACACGUCCACGUAUGUGAACCUGGAUGUUAGAUGUUGACCGGCAUUGGAGUGACGGAGCUACGAACACGUCCACGUAUGUGAACCUGUGGAAACCGCUCUGAGUUUGUACAUUUGACUGAAAACAGAACACAUGGAGAAAAAAAAAACAAUGCUAAAAACAUAAGACUGUUCCUUUAGUUUGAAGGUGUAUCUGGAGUGUUUGCGCAUGGUCAGCCGCACAUUUGAAUGUAAUUUUCAGGCUAACUGCUGUUUGUGAAGUUGACAUGUCGAAUAAAAAGAAAGUAAACCCA